UGGGUCACCUCNNCCCGUGUUUAUUGUACCUUGUUGCUUCGGUGCGCCCGCCUCACGGCCGCCGGGGGGCUUCUGCCCCCGGGUCCGCGCGCACCGGAGACACCAUUGAACUCUGUCUGAAGAUUGCAGUCUGAGCAUAAACUAAAUAAGUUAAAACUUUCAACAACGGAUCUCUUGGUUCCGGCAUCGAUGAAGAACGCAGCGAAAUGCGAUAACUAAUGUGAAUUGCAGAAUUCAGUGAAUCAUCGAGUCUUUGAACGCACAUUGCGCCCCCUGGUAUUCCGGGGGGCAUGCCUGUCCGAGCGUCAUUGCUGCCCUCAAGCACGGCUUGUGUGUUGGGCUCCGUCCCCCCGGGGACGGGUCCGAAAGGCAGCGGCGGCACCGAGUCCGGUCCUCGAGCGUAUGGGGCUUUGUCACCCGCUCUGUAGGCCCGGCCGGCGCCAGCCGACAACCAAUCAUCCUUUUCAGGUUGACCUCGGAUCAGGUAGGGAUACCCGCUGAACUUAAGCAUAUCAAUAAGCGGAGGA
rnacentral:rRNA from 1 species